GUUCCGGUGCACAGGUGUUUCUGGCUGGCGCCAGUCCCGAGGUGCUCUGCUGAUUCCGAGAAGCCGGCAGGCGGCAGCCACUGUGGUCAGGGCAGCACUGCCGUCUUCAUCUGGGCGUCCUCAUGCACCUGCUGUCAGCAGGCCCUCCUACCCUGACCCUGGAGGACAAUCUGGGAGCCUCGGAGCCUUUCUGAAAGGUGCAGUUUCAUCUUCUGAAUCCAAGAAUGGAAGCACGAUGGGACUUGAGCAUCCAGGACUACCCACUCAGGAGAGCAUAUGACCAGCCCCUCAGAGCCUCUGGGGUCGAGGCAGGUGUGUCACCUUCCAGCCCCAUAGUCAGUUCCUGUGGCUCCUUUGCCCAUGGGCUGUGCCAUUAUUAUGCCACAUGACUGUGCAGUUGCUUUGUGCCUGGGGUGUUUGUCAGAAAAGAUUCCCAGGGCAGGUGGGUGUGAAGACAGCAUCCUCCCUUGGCCGAGGUGACACCCUCCAGGCUGGGGACAGAGUCUGGGAGAGUAAGGAGCACUUGCUUCUUUCUCUGGGAAAUGUGCUGUGUGUCCCGACAGGGCGUCCUGGUUCUCCCCUUUGCCCUCACACUCUUUUCCCACAGUGAGUCCUGGUACACUCUUGCUCAGAGCCUGCAGUGGGAUCCACCAUCCCUGCAGUGGCCCCCAAGGGCUCCAAGAGCCAGCAGGACCUGCCUUGACCUUCCAGUCUCACUUCUGUCCACUCUCUGCUUUCCUCUCGCCAGUCCAGCCUGACCUCCUCGCUGUCCCUUCAGCACCCAGGCACAGCCAUGCCUCAGGGCCUUUGGAUGUGCGGUUUGCCUGGAGCACUCUUCACCCAGUCAUCUGCUUGGCCAAUGUCCUUGGCACCUUCUCUUUGGCACACCCAACACUGCAGAGCCUCCCCUCUCCAGCCCACACUCAGGACCCAUGUAUCUGACUCUGCUUUCUUUCCUUCCCAUAACACUUACAGUCGUGUAACAUACAAGUUGUUUACUCUUCUGUUCUGUUGUUGUUUGUGAGUUGUUGCCGGUUUUGCUCCCCAAUAUCCUGAGCACUCAGCAGUGUCUGCCCGGCUUUGGCUCAGAUGGAGCAUGAUGUGUGGAUUUGGGUUUGUUGCAUCUUCUCAGUUCAAAUAAAACUGACAAAUGGCAGCAUUCUUCAGCAGACAUCCAGCAUAGCUUUAUCAAUUUCAUGUAUUUCUGCUUCUGUCUUUAUUAUCUUGUGCAUUCUAUUUUCCUAAGGUUUAUUCUGUUUUAAAAGAAUAUGUUUUCUUAAGUUCAUUCAUUCUCAGACUUCCUGCUUUUCUAAAACAGCCCUAAUAUCAUGUAACCACUCUUAGAACCUUUUUGUUGUAUUCUACAGGUUGUGACAGGUACUCUUAAUGAUUAUUCAAUAUUAGGUACUGUUAUUUAUAAAUUAUUUAGAAAUACUUGGUGAGUCAUUGUUACCUCCUUUUUCCUGUUUUAGAGGUCAUGACUUCUGUAUUCUUUGAUACAGCCUAGCAUUUACAGCCUGCAUUCCUCACUUAUCAAAGUCUGAUGUUAACUGGUGAUUUUAUAUGUGGGCACUCUCUUUUCCAAAUAUAUUUUAAAAAUCUUUUAAUCAUUGAUUUUUCACUUAAUUGUAUUGCGUUUAGAAAAUAUGGUGUACAGUACUAAGUUUUGCAAUCUUUUGAGACUUGCUAUUUAGUCCAAUGCAUAAGCAAUAUUUGUAAAUGUUGUCUGUGAUCGUAUAAGAAAUAAAUCCCACCA
rnacentral:lncRNA from 1 species